GCUUUGCGAUGAUUUGUAAUUUGAAAAGCGCUAUACAAAUAAACUUGAAUUGAAUUGAACUGAAAUAUUUCUGGCAACAUUCUGCGGUGAGUUGAGUUCCUUUCUGCAUAAAUAGUGGUUACACAAACACAGAUGAGGAACACAACACAGUCCACCACGGGAGAGAAACUAGUGUUAGAUUAUUGACCCUGAAACUGUCAGAAAGUGAACAAAAAUAUAGAAAAGGGAAAAUGAACAGAGAACAUGGGAAAAACGUCAAUGAUAUCUGUGAAAAUGACUUUGUCACAAAAGGAACAUUUGCAAAAAGGACCACAGACAGUCACACAACGAGAAUCCAGUCAUCUGAACUCACAGGAAGUGAUGACGUGAUGAUCAGAUACUCCAGAGCAGUUGCAGUAGUGUUUGUGCUGCUGUGUGUUCUUCUGCUGACUGCACGCAUAAUACUGUGUGCCACCUUCGAUCAAGAGAGACAACAGCUACUAACUAAGAUCACCAACCUCACAGAAGAGAGAGAACAGCUACUAACUAAGAUCACCAACCUCAAAGAAGAGAGAGACCAGUUCAAAUCAGAAAGCAAUGAACUUCAGAAGUGUUCUGCAGGUAAGUUUCAGCUUCAGUCUAACUGGUGACUUGCUCUACACUCAAAAAAAUAGCACAUUGGUUGAACAUGAUUUAAUCGUGGACAGUGGUUCCACGUGAUUACACCACAUUAUCUUAACAACAAUGGAUGAUGUUCAACCAGCUUGAAAUAUUUGUGUUCAUUUAACAUGAACAGAUGACAUUCACUAAACAUGAUUUAAAUACUUAUUUUUAACUUGAAUUAAUGUUUUUUAUUCAAUUAAUCAUGCUAUCUUAAAUUUAAUCCUUGAUGUUAAGCCGAUAUGUUUACAUCACUUCUAAUGAAUCCCAUUUAGUCAAGUUACUACUAUGUUAUAAAUUAAUGAAUGUCACCCGUUUUUCCCCAUAAUUCAAUGAUGACUACGGAGGCAGCAAAUAUGUAAUAAAUUCUUUUUACUAGGGAACAGCUUAAGCAGGUGUCACACUUUCAAACACUUAUAACACAUUAAGCCAGAAUUUGACAAUUUAUAAAAAACACAAACGUGUACAGAAAUGUUUUCCUUUACGAUGCAAAAUGAAACAAACAGGUUUACAUUCCUACAUGUACAACAACCCAUUAAUAAAAAAAUACCAAAGUGUGUUUGCUUUUAAUGCAUUUCACAAAAAGAAAGUAACCUGCAAUUCCAAAGAAAAAAAUAAUAUUACAAACCCGAUUCCAAAAAAGUUGGGACACUGUACAAAUUGUGAAUAAAAACAGAAUGCAAUGAUGUGGAAGUUUCAAAUUUCAAUAUUUUAUUCAGAAUACAACAUAGAUGACAUAUUAAAUGUUUAAACUGAGAAAAUGUAUCAUUUUAAGGGAAAAAUAAGUUGAUUUUAAAUUUCAUGGCAUCAACACAUCUCAAAAAAGUUGGGACAAGGCCAUGUUUACCACUGUGUGGCAUCCCCUCUUCUUUACAUCUGGAGACAGAGGAGACAAGUUGCUCAA
rnacentral:lncRNA from 1 species